rnacentral:rRNA from 1 species
AGCAAUUACAAAGCGAAACUGCGAAUGGCUCAUUAUAUAAGUUAUCGUUUAUUUGAUAGUACCUUACUACAUGGAUAACCGUGGUAAUUCUAGAGCUAAUACAUGCUGAAAAUCCCGACUUCGGAAGGGAUGUAUUUAUUAGAUACAGAACCAAUGCCCUUCGGGGCUCCCUUGGUGAUUCAUAAUAACUUCUCGAAUCGCACGGCCCCGCGCCGGCGAUGGUUCAUUCAAAUUUCUUCCCUAUCAACUUUCGAUGCUACGGUAGUGUCCUAGCAUGGUUGCAACGGGUGACGGAGGGUUAGGGCUCGACCCCGGAGAAGGAGCCUGAGAAACGGCUACUACAUCCAAGGAAGGCAGCAGGCGCGCAAAUUACCCAAUCCCGACUCGGGGAGGUAGUGACGAUAAAUACCGAUACAGGGCUCUUUAGGGUCUUGUAAUUGGAAUGAGUACAAUUCAAAUCCCUUAACGAGGAACAAUUGGAGGGCAAGUCUGGUGCCAGCAGCCGCGGUAAUUCCAGCUCCAAUAGCGUAUAUUAAAGUUGUUGUGGUUAAAAAGCUCGUAGUAGAAGCUCGGGCUCCGGCCGACCGGUCCGCCUCACCGCGUGCACUGGUUCGGCCGGGCCUUCACCUUCUGCGGAACCGCAUCUGCUUCACUGCGGGUGUCGGGGAAACAGGACGUUUACUUUGAAAAAAUUAGAGUGCUCCAGGCAGGCCUAUGCUCGAAUAGAUUAGCAUGGAAUAAUGGAAUAGGACGUGUGGUCUUAUUUUGUUGGUUUCUAGGACCGCCGUAAUGAUUAAUAGGGACAGUCGGGGGCAUCAGUAUUCAAUCGUCAGAGGUGAAAUUCUUGGAUCGAUUGAAGACUAACUACUGCGAAAGCAUUUGCCAAGGAUGUUUUCAUUUAUCAGGAACGAAAGUUAGGGGAUCGAAGACGAUCAGAUACCGUCGUAGUCUUAACCAUAAACUAUGCCGACUAGGGAUCGGACGGUGUUAUUUCUUGACCCGUUCGGCACCUUACGAGAAAUCAAAGUGCUUGGGCUCCAGGGGGAGUA